UGGCAUAACAGAGCCUCUGAUUGUGCCAGUAACAGCCAGUCAUCGAGGAAGUUCAAGAUGUGCACACUGCUCAGUUUCAGAGGGGAGAGAACCGCAUUGAUGAGUGUGUGAUUCAAAUGUCUCAGAUCCAGGAUCAGCCGGAGCCCGCUGUCCUUCUUUGGGACAAGAAAAUAACAGCUGUAAAACCCUUUUUGGACUUGACAAUUUGGCACAACCUCUGUCGUGCUUUUCACAAGGAGAUUGUGUAUUUCGGCUCGUAACACUGGCGUGUCUUCGGACGAAACCAUGGAAGACAGAACGCUGUUGAAACGGGGUGGCCGGCAUGCAAAUUGGAUCAUAUAACCAUGUUCGAUCGUUUUUUGCACCCUUUCUGAAAUACCUGUUAGGGCUCACCAUGCGUCCGCAUAAUGGGACAGAGGGCAAUUUGGUUUGCUCACCGUAUUGGGAAGUGGUUUACAGUAUGUUUGUGAGGUAAUAGUUUAAUCGAAUGUUUUUGCCAAUUUAAGCAGAUUACUAGAUCUGUGUUAAAUAUGUUAAGCUAUUUUUUAUAUUGGGAAGUUGUUGCGCAAAAUGUGUGUGCUUUGAAGAAGAAAAGGGCUCUUUAUUGAGAAUGUGUGAGCAUCUUGUGCAUUUGCAAUGAGAGCUGUAUUCUUUUUUGCAUUCAUUGCUUUUUUUAUUGCAUUUAUUUGAGUGCAAGUCAUAGAAACAACAUUUUGAACAAUAUUGUGAACAACAAUAUUCCUUUCCCGACAAACAGCAGUGGAGAGAUGGGGAACAGUGUUUAGUAUCUCCAAUCGAGCCUUCUUUGGAGCAGACCCGGAGGGAACCGCGGGCUCUGCUUUCUAAUUCAAAGGGCUGUGCCCAUCAGGAGCAUUUUUGCUGUAUGGGGGUUUUUUUUCGCCGGCACAAGGAGGGUACUGAUACAGCUGCUUCUGUCUGGUGGCUCGGUGGCGGCAGGCGGCAGGCGCCAGCGCUGAGGCUGCAGGUAUGGGGCUUUUAGUCAGGCACUGGCUCAAAACAGAGCGAGGGCGAACCAGCUGUGAUGUACUCCGUUUGGGCAUAAAGUGUCUCAUAGCCUGUGACUGUUGCUGAGUCGUGACGUAACGCUCAGCAAACUUAUUCACAGAGCCGCCAAAGAGGCCAGCUGGAGACAAUGGAGCAUCCAACAGAGUGGCUUUUUCCCUAUUACUCAUUUCUGUGAGGGUCAGCCAUAUAUUUCGAUCCAGAACUGCCAGGAUGCCCAUGGAUUUGCCUGCGCAGUGACUUUCGUUGCAAGCAGCGCUAAGUCUGUAGCGGUGCGGAGCUCUUUGAAUGUCUCUUGAUCCCCAGCGUCAGAACCACUGCUCUUUCAGAGGGUCGGAGCUCGUCUCGCACAUAGCGUAUCGGAACACAUGCGCUUCGUGCAGACUGAGGGGCUCACGGGCUGUGAGCCAGCACGAGGACCACUUCAAAUUCAUCCUGCUCGACCUCACAGCCCUGCAGUGCCUCGUCAUGUGAAUCCUCGGGUAUCACAGAAGAGGCAGGUGGGAGGGUACGUGAGGCUGAAUCGUCCCUCAGAAUGAGGGCGAUUCGCGAGCAAAGUGUCUUGAGACCCAUGCCCUCGCAGUGAGGACAGUCUGUCUCCAUGAGCGCUCAUGCUGAUCUAAUGGCGGGAUGUGCCUCUUGAAGAAGGAACACUUACGGAACGACAUCUUUAAAAAAGACACGAACAAGAUACACAAAACCUGCCGAAGCGCUGCGGGGAAUCAGGAUGCUGAGGCCCAUUCACCUGUGAAGCAUCAAGCAGCGAGGCAGUGUGAUGUUUGCCGGAGCACUGCAGGGGAGCAGAAAGUCUUCCCGUGAAGAUUCCACCCGCUGACUCGUGUAUAACGACUGCGAAGUUAGAGGGCUUCUAGACAAGAGAUGAUCGCUGUCUUGAAGAAAUUCUGAGGAAAUGGUGUUCGUGCACCUGUUUUUAUAGCGGACAGUUUCGGGGCUCAAACACCAUAGCCAAUAUUAGAAUAUUGCCGUUAUUGUAGAGAGGUUUCAACUAGCUUGUGUAACAAGGCAUUCCCCUUAUGCGUUAAUAAACGCAAUGUCAAGUGUACUGAGUCGUAAGGGAACAUCAUAUUAUGUGCAGUUGUAGUGCUUUCAAUAUAGCACAGAGUGAAUAUAAUAUACAAAUCA